CAAACAGAAGGACUCUGUCCUGUUCUUGAAGACAGUCACCCAUAACUGCUCAGAUACAGAAGAGAGGAAGGGUGGCGAUCUGAGCAUGGAAGACCCCAGGGAAAGGUGCAGUAGACCCUAGACUGUGAUGUUCUUUUAGAUCCUCUCCCAAAGACUGGAGGGGUCUCAGCUUACACUUCUUCAUUCUUAUUUUCUACAAAGGAGAAUAGAAAGGAAAGCAGAUUUAGGACAUUUUGUAUUUGCAAAUGUAAACUGCUCAUGCUGGCUGGCAUUCUCCUGGUGCUGCAUUCCUCAGUAUUUCCUUUCCCUGAUCCAUCCCCAAAACAUCAUGGCAUGAACCUAAGACCACCUCAGACAAUGCCACAAUGCUUUAAAAAGGAGAUCAGCGGACCACAGGGGAAUCUGCUUAAUUAAUAUGAGAAAAACUCAACUAAAGGAAGUGCCACAGAAGACAUUCAAAAAUUUUAAUGUCAGAAACAAUUGUCUGGAUUUUUUUUUUCUCAGUAGAAAUUUACAGAAGAGUGGAAGAGUCUUAAUAAUGGAGAUAAUGAUUCUACUAUCAGUGUUUUGUUGUCAUCUAGCUGGGGAUUUACACCCUUCCAGCAUCCUCUCCUGUUGGGACAUGCAGGGACAGCAUGUAUAGCCCUGCAGGAGCUGCAAGGACAAAUUCGAGCUUCUUGGCAGUAGAAACAUUCAAAAAUCUGGAUCUCAUAUUACGAGAAAACUCCAAGUCUCUGGCCUCAAAGCAGGAAAAGAAGGAAAAUAGGAGAGAGAUACCCGCAAAGGAGUAGGAGAACAGUGAUAUGGCUGUCACCCUUGUGGAGCAGUUGGGAUAGAAAAUCCUCCUGGACGGAAAGACCUCAAAACAAUGACUGCUUUCCAGCCUGGUCCAUGAGAGGAAUUUAUCAUUCAGUGGCAAUUUCUCAAAGCAUGAGUUCCAAAAACGUUUGAUCAUUUGCCUUUUUUGACAAACUAUUGCUUUAUUUCUGCAUCUCCUUUAAAAAUAAUGCAGGACGAAAAUCUUUUGGGAAAUGUAAUGAUAAGAGAGUUACCUAGCAGCAAUCAAACUAGAAUAAUAUUUACAAUGAAUAUCAAUCACAAUAUAAAAACAAAAGGUGCUCAGAGAUACCUGGCCAUCCUCUUUUGAUUUUGUUGCCUUAAAAGAAGACAAUAUAAUGUAUAUUGCUACUGCCAAUGACAGCCUAAAAAACUCUGAGGCUGUAAAUACUGAGAAAGAUAUAUAACUUCAAUGGUGGAAUGAGAUAGACAUGAUCACCAUACGUAAAUGUAUGAUUACGCAAUGGUGUGAAUCUACAUCGUGCACAACCGAAGAAACGAAAAGUUGUACCCCAUUUGUGUACGAUGAAUCAAAAUGCUGUCUGUAAAACGAAUAUAAAAUUAAAAAGUACUAUAAAUUGUAUUAACUGUUUUAGGGUAAGUUAGAGAAGGAAGAUCCUUUGGUUACCCUUAGUAACAGCAAAACAAAUGAGAAGGAAAGUUUCUUGCCGAAUGUUUCUAGUAAUUAUUCAUAGCUACCCUGCCUAUCAAAUAGACAACCUUUAAAGUAAGGAUUAUGCUGUAUGAAUUUUGAAACAAACCAAAUAUGAAAACAACUAGCUUAAGUGUUUCAGAUGUACUUAAAUCUCCUCAAAGCCCCUGAAAAUCAGAUGGGGUUGAGAGAAAAUGGCAAAGCACCAUGGUUUUUAUUGCUACUAUUAGGAAAGUUUCAAGAUCGUUUCACUAGGCAUCUUCUCUUGGUCUAAAGAACUUUGAGAAAUAGGGACAACUUGAAAAUGGGCCUGAUAGUCAAACACAUUUGUGGGUUGCAAACUAAGAGCAGGUAGAACAGAGAAAAGUUCGUGGAGGCAGGGUUCAAAAAACUAAUGAUGCAGGGAGACUAUAGAUCUGCACUAUCCUUGUCCUAUGUGGUGGCUGCUACCACAUGCGGCCACUUAAAUUAAGAUAAAAAUUACACAAAAUUUUAAAAAUUCAGUUCUUCCAUCUUACCAUAUUUCAAGUCUUCAGGUGCUGCAUUUGUUGAACAACCACUGUAUUAGACAAUGAAGAGACCAUUUCCACUAUUACAGAAAGUUAUUUUGGAUAGUACUACUGUAGACAAUGGUUCCCAAUCUUCACAUAACUGAACCAAUUUUUAACAUGAAAAAAUUGUACAGAUUCCCAUGAUGGGACUUCAGUAUCUACUGAUUGAAAAACACACAGUAUGACAAUAGCUACAGUAAAGGUAGCGAAACAAAAAUUCACUUAAAAGCAUUGCUGAGCACCAGAGCCUCUACAGACAUUUGAAAAAUAGUGGGGCACAUGUGUAUGAGACAGCUCAGCCUGCAGGCAGAGUGGGCUGCAGAUGGCUUCAAGGACAUUGUCCAUACCCUGAAUGCAAGUUGUGAGGUAAUGUUCUGCUUCUUCCUCUAAGCUCUCUCUGAUCUCUGGUAAACAUACCUUUUAUCCACUGCCUUACAUUAGUCCUCCAAGUCUUUUUCUCAGCUGAAUAAAGAGCAUGAACCUUG